rnacentral:rRNA from 1 species
AAACCAACAGGGAUUGCCCUAGUAACGGCGAGUGAAGCGGCAACAGCUCAAAUUUGAAAUCUGAUCUCUUCGAGGUCCGAGUUGUAAUUUGUAGAGGGCGCUUUGGUGUUGGCUGCGGUCUAAGUUCCUUGGAACAGGACGUCAUAGAGGGUGAGAAUCCCGUCUGUGGUCGCAUGUCUUCACCGUGUAAAGCCCCUUCGACGAGUCGAGUUGUUUGGGAAUGCAGCUCUAAAUGGGAGGUAAAUUUCUUCUAAAGCUAAAUACUGGCCAGAGACCGAUAGCGCACAAGUAGAGUGAUCGAAAGAUGAAAAGCACUUUGGAAAGAGAGUCAAAAAGCACGUGAAAUUGUUGAAAGGGAAGCGCUUGCAGCCAGACUUGCUUGCAGUUGCUCAUCCGGGCGUUCGCCCGGUGCACUCUUCUGUAGGCAGGCCAGCAUCAGUUUGGGCGGUUGGAUAAAGGCCUCUGUCAUGUAUCUUCUCCGGAAGACCUUAUAGGGGAGUCGUAAUGCAACCAGCCUGGAC